rnacentral:rRNA from 1 species
UACGUAGGGGGCAAGCGUUGUCCGGAAUCAUUGGGCGUAAAGAGCGCGUAGGCGGUCCGGUAAGUCCGCUCUGAAAGUCAGAGGCUCAACCUCUGGAGGCCAAUGGAUACUGCCGGGCUAGAGUCCGGAAGAGGCGAGUGGAAUUCCUGGUGUAGCGGUGGAAUGCGCAGAUAUCAGGAGGAACACCAAUGGCGAAGGCAGCUCGCUGGGACGGUACUGACGCUGAGGUGCGAAAGCGUGGGGAGCAAACAGG